GUGUCCCUUCAGCUGCAUAUACUAAAAUUGGAAAGAUACAGAGAAAAUUAGCACAACCCCUGUGUGAGGAUGACACACAAGCAACUGCGUGGAGUGUUCCAUAUUA